rnacentral:rRNA from 1 species
UUGUAAACUUUUUUAUACGGGAAUAAACUUAGCUAUGUAUAGCUAACUGCAGGUACCGUACGAAUAAGCACCGGCUAACUCCGUGCCAGCAGCCGCGGUAAUACGGAGGGUGCAAGCGUUAUCCGGAUUUAUUGGGUUUAAAGGGUCCGCAGGCGGACUAAUAAGUCAGUGGUGAAAUCUCUCGGCUCAACCGAGAAACUGCCAUUGAUACUGUUAGUCUAGAGUGUAGUUGGCGUAGGCGGAAUGUAUCAUGUAGCGGUGAAAUGGUUAGAUAUGAUACAGAACACCGAUCGCGAAGGCAGCUUACGAAACUACAACUGACGCUCAGGGACGAAAAGCGUGGGGAGCGAAGCAGGAUUAGAUAUCCCUGGUAGUCCACGCGCUACCGCGA